rnacentral:rRNA from 1 species
AGGACGAACGCUGGCGGCGUGCUUAACACAUGCAAGUCGAGCGGAAAGGCCCUUCGGGGUACUCGAGCGGCGAACGGGUGAGUAACACGUGAGCAAUCUGCCCUUAGCUUCGGGAUAGCUCCGGGAAACCGGAAUUAAUACCGGAUAUGACUAUGGCUGACAUCAGCCACGGUGGAAAGUUUUUCGGCUAGGGAUGAGCUCGCGGCCUAUCAGCUAGUUGGUGGGGUAACGGCCUACCAAGGCGACGACGGGU